AGAAGCUGAAGGGUAUUUAAACGGAGGGGCAAGGGGGUCAGUUACUCACCUUCAUGUGCAAAGGGAAGCAGAGAGAAAGUAGCCUGGAGACAAAUACACACACCCACACGAGGGACAAUAACUGUCUAGGUUCCUGCUGCUUUUCCAAUUGCUGGUUCCAGUUCCCAAUGAGGCCUGACUGGAGCUCUGGACAUGGUGGUGUAUUGAGGACCUACACAGAAACUGGGUUCUUGUGGACUCUGUUGGAGCUCUCAUCUCAACCUGACAACCUGGAGAUGGGCAAAGUACAGGGGGAGUUACGCUUCGCUCAGGACCUUGCGUGUGUGGUCUUUCUUGGACAAGAAAGCACAUUGGACUCCUCCCGUCAAGCCCUUUCUUCCCUGUAUCUGAGGUGUGAAAAUUCCGUGACUGAACUGCCAUUUUCCCACGGUGGGACGCCUACCACGACAAGGCUCUUGCCAAGCAGUGCCACGUCUGCACCCAGGAUCCGACCCGGCGAACCCUGGGCCACCGAAGCGGAACGUGCGCACUUAACCGCUGCGCCACCAGGCUGGCCCCAGAAUUUCUAAUUUUUAAAAACAAUUUAUUUCUCUCUAUGUAUUCUCCAUUUAGUGAGACCCUGUCUUCAUACUUUCCUUAAGUUCUUUAGGCAUGGUUUACUUUAGUCCUUUGAGCAUAUUUAAAAUAUCCCAUGUAAUAUCUUUGUCUAGGAAGCCAAUAUAUGUGCUUCCCCAGGGAAGGUUUCUAUUGACUGAUAUUUAUCCUGUGUAUGGACCAUACUUUCUUGUUUCUUUAUAUGCCUCAUAAAUUUUUGUUCAAAACUAGACAUUUUAAGUAAUAGAAUAUGCCAAUUCUGGAAAUAAGAUUCUUCCCUCUUUCCAGUGAUUGUUGUUGAUCUCAGAUGUGGUUGCUGUUUUUUUGUUUAAUAACAAAUGGGGAAAAUGGCAAUUAAAGGAUUAAAGUAUAAAUAAAUUGUGAUCUAUGAAUACAAGGACAUAUUACUAGAUGUUAAAGGUCACAGAUAGUAGACAACUGUGGCUUGAAGUCUGAGGUCAGGAGAUGUUAACUGCAAAGAGGCU
rnacentral:lncRNA from 1 species